rnacentral:rRNA from 1 species
CACGUAGGAGACGAGCGUUAUCCGGAUUCACUGGGCGUAAAGGGCAAGUAGGCGGUUGCUUAAGUUGGGCGUGACAAUCUCUGGCUUAACUAGGGAAGGACGUUCAAAACUAGGCAACUCGAGGGCAGGAGAGGAAAGCGGAAUUCCUAGUGUAGCGGUGGAAUGCUCAGAUACUAGGAGGAACACCGGUGGCGAAGGCGGCUUUCUGGUCUGCACCUGACGCUGAGAGGCGAAAGCUAGGGUAGCGAACGGGCUUAGAUACCCCCGUAGUCCCUGAGCGGG